UUCAAUUAGUCAACUCUGCAUGUUUUGGGAAUGUGAGAGGAAACCAAACUCGAGUAGCUGGAGAAAAAUCACACAGGCACAGGGAGAACAUGAAAACUCCACACAGGUGAUCAGUUCAGGGUGUUCCCUGCCUUUGGUCCAAAGUGAGCUGGGACAGCUCCUGCACACUCCCGACCCAGUGCACCGGGACUAAAGGAAGAAAAAAAGUGGAACCAGCCAGGGUGAUUAGUCGUCCUGACCGUAGCCAG